ensembl:misc_RNA Metazoa_SRP Metazoan signal recognition particle RNA
GCCAGUUGCCCUGGUGGCACCUGUUGUCCCAGCUUCCCAGGAGGCCGAGGCGGGAGGAUCUCUCCAGCCCAAGAGUUCCUGGCUGUAGUGUAGUGUGCGAUGUUAAGUGUCUGCACUAAGUUUGGCAUCAGUAUGGUGACCUCUUGGGAGCUUGAGGAGGAGCCAGCUGGCCCAGGUCAGAAAUGGAGCAGGUCAAAACUCCUGUGCUGAUCUGUAUAGCAUCGUGCCAGUGAAUAGCCACGGCACUCCAGCCUGGGCAACAUAGCAAGACCCUGUCUCU